rnacentral:misc_RNA from 1 species
GAUGAAGAACGCAGCGAAAUGCGAUAAGUAAUGUGAAUUGCAGAAUUCAGUGAAUCAUCGAAUCUUUGAACGCACAUUGCGCCCCCUGGUAUUCCGGGGGGCAUGCCUGUCCGAGCGUCAUUACAACCCUCAAGCUCAGCUUGGUGUUGGGCCCCGCCGCCCCGGCGGGCCCUAAAGUCAGUGGCGGUGCCGUCCGGCUCCGAGCGUAGUAAUUCUUCUCGCUCUGGAGGUCCGGUCGUGUGCUCGCCAGCAACCCCCAAUUUUUUUCAGGUUGACCUCGGAUCAGGUAGGGAUACCCGCUGAAUUUAAGCAUAUCAAUAAGCGGAGGA